UGCAGUCGAACGGUAACAUGAGAGCUUGCUCUUGAUGACGAGUGGCGCACGGGUGCGUAACGCGUAUGCAAUCUACCUAUAACUGAGGAAUAGCCCAGAGAAAUUUGGAUUAAUACCUCAUAAUAAUAUUUUCUGGCAUCAUUAAAUAUUUAAAACUUUGGUGGUUAUAGAUGAGCAUGCGUUCUAUUAGUUUGUUGGUGAGGUAAAAGCUCACCAAGACUACGAUAGAUAGGGGGCCUGAAAGGGUGAUCCCCCACACUGGUACUGAGACACGGACCAGACUCCUACGGGAGGCAGCAGUGAGGAAUAUUGCACAAUGGAGGAAACUCUGAUGCAGCCAUGCCGCGUGCAGGAUGACGGCCCUAUGGGUUGUAAACUGCUUUUUUACAAGAAGAAACCUUGGUACGUGUACCAACUUGACGGUAUUGUAAGAAUAAGCACCGGCUAACUCCGUGCCAGCAGCCGCGGUAAUACGGAGGGUGCAAGCGUUAUCCGGAUUUAUUAGGUUUAAAGGGUUCGCAGGCGGAAUUUUAAGUCAGUGGUGAAAGCCUAUAGCUCAACUAUAGAACUGCCACUGAUACUGAUAUUCUUGAGUGUAGAUGAAGUGGGCGGAAUAUGUCAUGUAGCGGUGAAAUGCAUAGAUAUGACAUGGAACACCAAUUGCGAAGGCAGCUCACUAAACUAUUACUGACGCUCAUGAACGAAAGCAUGGGGAGCGAACAGGAUUAGAUACCCUGGUAGUCCAUGCCGUAAACUAUGAUCACUA
rnacentral:rRNA from 1 species